ensembl:snoRNA
UGGACAUUUAUUCUUACUCAGUUUCUUCUCAAGGUGAAGAUAACUCUUUAUAAAUGUCCUGGAGAAAUAUAGUAGCUUUCUUUUCACCCUUUGCAAGUAAAAACGGUGGAUCGUUCCACUACUGACACUU